CACGUAGGGCGCAAGCGUUGUCCGGAAUUAUUGGGCGUAAAGAGCUCGUAGGCGGUCUGUUGCGUCCGCUGUGAAAACUCGGGGCUUAACCCCGAGCCUGCAGUGGAUACGGGCAGACUAGAGGUAGGUAGGGGAGAAUGGAAUUCCCGGUGUAGCGGUGAAAUGCGCAGAUAUCGGGAGGAACACCGGUGGCGAAGGCGGUUCUCUGGGCCUUACCCUGACGCUGAGGAGCGAAAGCGUGGGGAGCGAACA
rnacentral:rRNA from 1 species